CCCUGGAUAUCUCAGCUGGUAGAGCUUCAAAGUUUUAAUCUGGGGGUCCAGGGUUCAAGUCCCUGUUCAGGCA
rnacentral:tRNA from 1 species